CAGAGGUCUCAAGCGUUGUUCGGAUUCAUUGGGCGUAAAGGGUGCGUAGGUGGCAUGGUAAGUUGAAGGUGAAAUCUCGGAGCUCAACUCCGAAACUGCCUUCAAUACUGCUGUGCUCGAGGACUGUAGAGGAGAAUGGAAUUCACGGUGUAGCAGCGAAAUGCGUAGAUAUCGUGAGGAAGACCAGUGGCGAAGGCGAUUCUCUGGGCAGUUCCUGACACUGAGGCACGAAGGCUAGGGGAGCAAACGGGAUUAGAUACCCCGGUAGUCCUAGCAGUAAACGGUGCACGUUUGGUGUGGGAGGAUUCGACCCUUCCGUGCCGGAGCUAACGCGUUAAACCGUGCCGCCUGGGAAGUACGGUCGCAAGAUUA
rnacentral:rRNA from 1 species